GACGCCCCUGCGAGUUGUCAAGUCAUCCCUCAUGUUCACCUCCAUAUGAUGGGUGGCGUGGGUGGUAAUGUCCUGGCGCGCUAUUCGUUUGGGGUUCGAGGAUGUGCUUGAACCAGAGAUAUUCCGUGGUUGCUGGACGUCCUUGCACCAUGGAAACGUCGAAGCUUCAUUCCGUAGGUCUCCAACUUGGCGCCAGUGAGACUCAUUCUUACUCUAUUUGUUCUCAUUCGGCAGUAAAUUAUUAGAUGUUAAUUUUGUGUGUAUUUUUGUGCGAGCAGAGGAAAGAAAUUCCUAG
rnacentral:lncRNA from 1 species